ACCUAGUGGCGAACGGGUGAGGAACACGUGAGGAACCUGCCCCGAACUUUGGGAUAACAGUUGGAAACGACUGCUAAUACCGAAUGCCGUUACGAAGUGGCAUCACUUUGUAACGAAAGAAUUUCGGUUCGGGAGGGCCUCGCGGCCUAUCAGCUAGUUGGAGGGGUAACGGCCCACCAAGGCAUCGACGGGUAGCUGGUCUGAGAGGAUGAUCAGCCACACUAGGACUGAGACACGGCCCAGACUCC
rnacentral:rRNA from 1 species